GUCUGCCAUGGCAGGUGGGUGAAAGACCCCAGCUAACAUAGGGGUCGCUCGUUAAAUUACAAUAAAGCCUCGUGCAGUUUGCAGCAAGCUCUCGAAUCCGCCUGGUGAUUGGGGUGACCGCGAACCUGGCCUGAGACCCCGGAUACUUGAGUUUUCAGGGGUCUAACAUUUUGGGGGCUCGUCCGAGAUUUGUGACCACCCUUCACCUGAGUGGAUUCAAUCUUGGAGGUAAGAUGAUUGGAGCUCGCAACUUAUAUAUGUUCAAUGUUCUAUGUUUCUUGUUUUGUCUCUUGCUGUUUUGUUUGGUGCCAUGAUUUGUAUUUGAUCUGCGCAGAAUUUGUAUUUGUAAUUCGGACUUCUGGGGAAGACCCUGAAGUCCUGCCCUGGAUGAAAGUCCGAGGAUUUGGUUGUAAUUUUGGUUUGGGGCACCAUUUCUUUGCCGCGGUUUGUCCUGUCUAAUGUUUGUGCUGUCUAAUGUGCUGUCAUUUGUGUUAUGUGUUUCUUAAGCAUCUCUUUCUGUCCCACAUUGCCCAUGCACGUGGCAUGCAUGGGUCAGGGGGUCAGGGGUCUUUUCUUGAUUCUCUGAGCACGUGGCCCCACCUCAACUAUGAUCAGCAGAUGCACCCGGAGGACAGACUGCCACUCUGAGGACACCCAGGACCCAGGAGGUACGGACGCGGGCCAAGGACACUUGGACCCCCCUCAGUUAGCCGCCGGGUUCUGCCGCCGUCUUCCCGGCGCCAUUGCCUUAUAAGCAGCGCAGGCGGAUUGGGUUGGCGUCUAUUCUUUCCUGUCUAUUCUGUGCUCCACACACAUGGUAUGCAGGGGGGCCGCAGGAGUCUUUUUACCAGCCCUGGAUUGGCCAAGGGUCUGGGGUUACCAGCAGCACCCCUACCCCAGGUCUCUCUGCCUUGAGCACAUGGAGCUUGAGCAUAUAAACUUAUCUGGCCUGAUCCAGACAUCUAAAUGGCCUUAAAGUUAUUAAGAGCUGUAAAAGGGACUUUGACAAAAUUUUUAUGUUGACUAAAAAAUGAGAAAAAAAAAUAUAGGAGACUUAAGUAAUAAAAAAAAAAGGAAAAAAAUUUGUCUAAGAAUGUCUAAGAAAGUCAGAGAAAUGAACUAAAAGGUUAAAGAGAGUUAAAGCAAAUGGUAAAAGUUAUAGAGGGUUAAANNNNNNNNNNNNNNNNNNNNNNNNNNNNNNNNNNNNNNNNNNNNNNNNNNNNNNNNNNNNNNNNNNNNNNNNNNNAGUCAGAGAAAUGAACUAAAAGGUUAUAGAGCAAAAAAGUUGUUACAAAAAGUUAUAGAGGGUUAAAGCAAGGUGUAGGUCAGAGAAAAGUUGUUGGAGGUCAGAGAAAAAGAUUGUUACAGAAAGUUAUAGAGAGAAAAAGUAAGUUGUAGAAGGUCAGAGGAAAGUUGUCGAAGGUCAGAGAAAAGGUUGUUACAAGUCAGAGAAAAAUGUAAACUGUGCUAUGGUUUCUCAUGUUAAAAUUUACAAACAGUAAAUUUUAAAAAUGGUAAUAUAAGUUAAAAUUUUAACCAUAUUAAGCUAAUUCUGUUUUAAAAAGUCCUGUUUAUUUCUCAAGUAAAUUAUGUAUACUUGUUUUAAAAUGUUCUAUUUCCUGGUAUAAACUUAAACAUGUUAAGCAAAGCAAGUAACUGGUCACAUGACUUGACUGGUCGCCAUUUUGCUAAAGUUAAAAAAGAAUACUUAAACCGCCAAUAGCAGCCGGUGAAUAUUUGUUGACAAUCUUCUUGUUAAAACUGAUAUUUAUGC
ensembl:lincRNA